CAAGAGGAGAGCUGUGCAACCAGCCUCGCUCAUAUCCCUGCAGAAGUAGGAUUUCCCCUCAGAAGACACCUGCUUUGCCACUGUAUUUAAUCCACGCUGAGGAAGCGAGCUGGAUUAAAGAAGACAUGCACCACAAGAGAUGCGAUUGGUUACAGACUUGAAUAAACUUUGCUUGCUCUGGAGAGCCUCGAGGGAGGGGAUUGAAGAACCGGUGAUGCGUUGGGCAGAUUCACCACCUUAGGUUGACCGGGAGAGCUGGAAUGGAGAGGUGUAGUACUCCACUACCCUCU